CUGGCCUGUGGCAGUGUGAGAAGAUAUGCCAAGGAUUUCCCCAGACCUUUAAUAGAGGCCAAAAAAAAAAAAAAAAAAGUGAAUGUAAAGGUCUGCACAAAGCUAAAGUGCUUGCAAUAAAAUUUAAGGACAGGAAGGAUGUUCACAUGCUAACAACCAUCCAUAACGAGGGCAUGUCAGACGUCACUGUCCGAGGCAGGGUACAGACAAAACCGGUGUGCAUCAGGG